CUUUGCCUCUCUGAAUCUGCUAGGUACCCUGGGAAACUGUAUGCAGAGGCAGACCGAGCCCUCAUACCCAAGUUUCCUAACUUGGCUGACAGUGCAGGGACUGGCUAUGACUCGUGGCGAGAAGCUUUAAGGUUUAAAGCUAAAUAUGAGCGAAGAAAGCUCAGGCUGCAAGAACGCACUGAUGAUGGCCCACCACCUAAAAGACCGACAGUGGUCAACAGUGACAGUCUUGCCCCCAAAAGGAUCACAAGACCAUUUUCAGCUGCUGCCAUGGAAGAUGGAGAGGACAAGGAAACAAUUGACGCUCAUCUUGUGGCUAUGGCUAAAGAAGUGUCGAAGGCCCGGCCUGAUGUCAGUUACAUUUCUGACUGUAUGGCUAGAACAUUUGCGAG